GGAAACCGUCGCUCUGUAUCCGCCGCGCCGCGCUCGCGCUGCUGCUCCGGGCUUGAGAGCAGUAAAGACGUGUGAUAUCCCUCCGCGUAUUACAGUACCAGCGGAACAAUACACAGUGAAGACCAGUGGAUAUAAGACCAUCGUUUUCGAUGGUCUUCAGGCUCCCAGGAUUGUCAGGAGGAAGUCAAUUUGCGGGUAUCUGCGCAUGCUGGUUGGAGCCUCCUCCUUCCAUAGAGUGAACCCACUGGCAAAAGACUGUAGAAUGAGAUAUUCCUUUCAGUGAAUGUCGUAUAUAAUCUAAAAGUGCACUGCUGCAGCUGCUGAUGCCCUUAUGAUGAAGCUGAAUCACCCCGGCAUUAUUUCUCAUAUAGAAAGAAGUGCACUCUCCUUGAGACUGAGCCUGGAUCAUCAACAAUACCCUGAAAAUCUAUUCAUGCAUCUAAAGCUCUGAUGCACAUUCACUCUUUUUACCCAUCUGCAAAAUGAGAGUCUCUGUGGACCGGGCAGAUAAAAUGUGUGUAAAAGACUCAGAGCCAGGCAGUCCUUUGGCUUUGUGAAUAUGGUUGUUAUUGGAAAUAUUAGUUUCAUGAGGGUUGUCCCGAAUGUUUUUUUUAUUUUCCUAAGCAGCUGGAGUCUACGUGGAAACUGGCUGGAGACCUUUUGUCUCUCUAUAACCAGAAAAUGUGCUGACAGAGUAAAAUAUUCGUGUUUAACCGAAGGAGGCGGAGUCAGUCAGCAAUGAUGGUAAUUGGUUUGCACAAGCUUUGCACCUUUGAAGGUGUUGAUGGUCACUCACUUCUGCCAGAUCCUGCUCCUGUCACUUUCUUUUCGUUUCUUUCUUUCUUUCUUUCUUUCUUUCUACCUACAUCAUCCAAAAUCUCUGCUGUGAGUCCCCAUUUAGAGUGUGGAUAGUUGUGUUACAUGGGGAUUAGGGACAAGCCCUUUUCUUAGCAUUACCUAAGUACACUUUUGACUUAGGAUACUUGUACUUAAUAUUUCCAUUUCAUGCUACAUCCUACCACAUUUAAGAGGAAAACGUUAUACUUUUUAUUCCAUUAGAGAUGUAUUUGCCAGCCACAGUGAUUACUUACUUCCAAGUUAAGGUUUUACAUAAUGGUUCCAUCAUUUCUUGGCAUGUUUUAGAUGUCUGAGUUGUUAAGAGUUCCACUAAAGAGAUCUUUCCUUUUAAAAUUCUCUGGUGGUUUCAAAACAUUGUUCAGGGCCCAAAGAUUUGAAAUUAUCAAAUUAUCAAAUUUUUCAAUGCAUCAUUACUAUCUGAUAAUGUUUAUACAGGCUCUGAAUACUACUUCCACUACUGAUAAUUAACACAUUUCAACAUAGGACACUGAUUGGCUGAAAAACAAAGCCACAGUAGGUGAGGAGAACCUGAUGGAUUUUGGAAAUUUUUGAUUGAUAUGAGUCAUUGAUAACAGUGUGCUGAUGUUAGUCUGAAACUGCUUUUAAGCUUGGAAGCCUUUUGAUAAAGAAACAACUUUGCAUUUAUCACUUAUUAUUAUCACUGUGUUUUUCUUGAAGUGACUUCAUUUGAUCAUUAAUUUAGAGCAAAUGAGAAUUCCUACCGCUGAGUUCCUCGCUGUUUUGAAACACAAAAAUUGAACAAUGUGUCAUCAGUAAAUAAAACUAAACUUCCUCUACUGUCAUAACAACGCCACUGACUGACUGUGAUUUGGAGCAUGGUUGGACGCCAUGUUCAAAGCACAGUGGUAUGUCUUCCAGUCUGCACACCAGGCUGUACUGACCUUUCACGGCCAGGCAGGCUGUUGCUAAUUGUUUACCACCACAUCCUGUUUCCUCACUGUUUGCUUUAUUGGAGAAAGUCACCUACAUUUAGAAUGAUUUAUCAUGUUUUAAAAGCCUGGGGAAACUGGUAAUACUGGCCUUAAAUGUAUCUGGGUGGAUCUCUUUAAAAUGUAUUGUAAAUGGUUAUAUAUUACUUGCCUAUCUGUUCUUACUGUUCUUUACUAGAGUAAAUGUUACUUGACUGGUCUUAUGGAAUGAUUGUCUUCUGUUUUUGUUGUUAGUUUAUGAUCUAAUUACUGUACACAACACCUAGACGUCUGAACUGUGAAAUGUUGUCAGGCGCAGGUGUUGAAUCUAUAUUGAUGCCUGAUAUUGAAACCAAAUUGUAAGUGCUUGUUAUGUAUAAUGUUGAAUAAAUGUCAAAGGUCAGCGUA